GUGGGGAGCCACAGCCCCGUCCACCAGGGUAUGAAGCAGGUAUGGAGGAGAUCCAGGCCCCAGAUAUCAAUGUCUCCUUAUGUUAGAAAAUGUCAAAAUAGUGUACUGUAGUGUAUUGUAAAGUUUACUGUCGUAAAUGUGAUUUUAAGUUGACACAAAGAAAGCUGGAGAUGGUGGUUUCUAAUUGUUACUGUAGUACAACAGCAAAUCCAGGCAUACUUUGUUUUGUUGAUCGGACUUAUAACACAAGAUUGUCCCUUUCAGGGAAGAACAAAAUUAUAAAGAAAGUACUUGAGGGACAACAUGGAUGGACAAAAGUUAGAAAUGUAUGAUUUUAAAUUCACCUGUCCUUGGUUGGAUAAGGCACCUGUUUGUUUGUAAAGGUGUUUGAUGUGUCGGCAUCUUUUUAUUCAUGCAGAAUGCCAAAGAUAUGCAAGACUACUGAAGCAGAAAGACGUACCUAUUCCUCUGUUGAAUUCCAGCAGAAACUCAACAAUGAUCAUAAUAUUAUAUUGGUGUACUUUAUUAAGCAACAUACAGAGGAAUUGAGGCAUGUUUUGAGCUCUUUGCUAUUGAAUUUGUUAAGAAUCUUCCCAUGGUAACUAUUUGGCCAUACUUAUUCAAUUAAUAUAAAAUUAAAACACAUGCAUACAUGCGUACAGUUACCUCUAGGUCUGCAGCUACAUUACAUAUUAUAUCAGAACAAUAUAUAAGAAACUUUUAAUUUCAUGGCUUUAAUGUUUGCUUUUGUCACAAAGCCUGUUUCAUUCCAAAUGUUUAUAUCAUUCGACAUCUACAGCUCACAGCUUAUGUUUUGAUACACAAAUCCAUAAUUCAUUGAACUUUUCUGUCUGUGAGCCUGUGUGUGUGUGUGUGUGUGCGUGUGUGUGUGUGUGUGU